rnacentral:rRNA from 1 species
UACGGGGGGGGGCAAGCGUUUGUUCGGAAUUACUGGGCGUAAAGGGCUCGUAGGCGGCCAACUAAGUCAGACGUGAAAUCCCUCGGCUUAACCGGGGAACUGCGUCUGAUACUGGAUGGCUUGAGAUUGGGAGAGGGAUGCGGAAUUCCAGGUGUAGCGGUGAAAUGCGUAGAUAUCUGGAGGAACACCGGUGGCGAAGGCGGCAUCCUGGACCAACACUGACACUGAGGAGCGAAAGCCAGGGGAGCAAACGGG